rnacentral:rRNA from 1 species
UACAGAGGUCUCAAGCGUUGUUCGGAUUCAUUGGGCGUAAAGGGUGUGUAGGUGGCGCGCUAAGUCGGGUGUGAAAUUUCGGAGCUUAACUCCGAAACUGCAUUCGAUACUGCCGUGCUUGAGGACUGGAGAGGAGACUGGAAUUUACGGUGUAGCGGUGAAAUGCGUAGAUAUCGUAAGGAAGACCAGUGGCGAAGGCGGGUCUCGUGGACAGUUCCUGACGCUGAGGCACGAAGGUCAGGGGAGCAAACGGG